CAGGACUCGACAUCCCUCUGAAUGAUCUAGAGAUAGAUAGGGCAUACCGAAAGGUAUGACAGAGGAGACAGGUGGUGCAUGGUUGUCGUCAGCUCGUGUCGUGAGAUGUUGGGUUAAGUCCCGCAACGAGCGCAACCCUUAUUCCUAGUUGCCAUCAUUAAGUUGGGCACUCUAGGGAGACUGCCGGGGACAACUCGGAGGAAGGUGGGGAUGAGGUCAAAUCAUCAUGCCCUUUAUGUCCUGGGCUACACACGUGCUACAAUGGCCGGUAACAAAGAGCAGCCAGGCGGUAACGCCGAGCAAAUCUCGUAAAACCGGUCUCAGUUCGGAUUGUGGGCUGCAAUUCGCCCACAUGAAGUAGGAGUUGCUAGUAAUCGCGAAUCAGCAUGUCGCGGUGAAUACGUUCCC
rnacentral:rRNA from 1 species